rfam:Salmo salar isolate Sally breed double haploid chromosome ssa15, whole genome shotgun sequence.
AACAAAACAAUUUGUAAGUCGCUCUGGAUAAGAGCGUCUGCUAAAUGACUUAAA